GAAGGACCAUGAAGCUGAUGUUGACGCUUCUCAUCUUUGCCAUUUCUGGCCUUUUGGUGCCAGACAGUACAACUUUGCCAAAUGGUGAGGCAUUUGGAGUUGCCUCAAAGGAAGCUCAGCGCUUGGACGGAAGUGCUGAAGACGCCGAAGCCCGUCUAUCUGUGGCCUGUGUGAACAACAACUGUGCAGUUUCACUGCUGAGAAAAUAAGGGCAAACCCCGGGAAAAUGCAUUCGGCACUGAAACGCAGCCACGGCUACUUCGGUCCGUUUCUUUUCGGAAGAAGCAGCUCAGUUCCUGAACCGCAGCUGCAAACGACGCCGGGCGGAAUAAACUCCUUCAAGCUAUCCUGAAUGAAAAUGUGGGAUGCUUUACAGCGAAGCUGUCUAUCGCUAGGAUCCCAGUGUUCUCUCAUGGCGUAACGUCGACACAAAACUAUCAUCUUCAACGGUUGAUACC